AGAGGAGAGAGGUGACCGCUCUACCAACUGCUCCUUUGAUUUAUUGUGUUUACUUUCUACUCUUAUUUGUAGCGUGUUUUCAGAGUGUUUUUCCCCUGUUAAUAUUCGCUCUAUGACAUGUAUGUGAAGAGUGCAUUUAACGGAGAGGAAUUAUAUAAAGACUCGUGAAACUACCAUCGUUGGCGUUGUCUUUUCCUAUUCAUCCUGGGCAGACUUACAACUCUGACAGCGUUACAAGUGCCAUUUCAAUUUUUCUCCAAAAAUCAGCAUGAUUAAAAUGUGAUAUUAAAUUACUACAAACAAUAAUUUAAUUACAAAUACAAAAUGUUGCAGAAUAAUGAAAUAUAUGAAUGAAUAAUAGCCUAAAGAACCUUUGUGCAAAAAGGGUUCUUUCUUGUCAUUAUAGAACAUUUUUAGCAUAAAAGGUUCUUUAGAGUUGAGUAAAGAACCAUAUGGUUCUAUAUAGAACCCCAAUUAACCCUUUUUUUUUAAAAAUGUCCAAUCCGUGCGCUCAGAUUUUGUAAACCGUACCCUCCGUUUUUGAAUCUGUAGCCACAAAUUCAUAAUCUGCGCGCGCACUUUCGCAAUCCGUUCCCAUGGAUUUGUAAACUGUAGCCCACUCACGGAUUCAUGCAGCAAGCUCCUACGUGUUAACUUACGGUUUUAAUGAAUAUUAUUAUGUGGAAUGGGUCUACAGCAAAGUGUCUUGAGUGAUUCUCUGUAUGUUUUUCUCAUACAGGUGAAACAUUGUUGAAAACAUGCAGCCUGUCUCUACUGUGGAGUCGCCGGCUUUCAGGCAGCUCCUUAGCAUGAUAACAUAUACUUCAUUUUUAAACAGCAUUUACAUAUUUAUAAGUAUGUAUGUAUUUAUGUUUCUCAAAAUUUAUUUUGAAUCAUUCAGAAUGCUUUCAUUUAUUUAUUUCUAAAUGUUUUGUGUUAUGUUGUCCACUGUUCAUAGUUUUCAUAUUUAAGCUGUGAAAGGAAAAUUUUUAAGGGCUCAACACAACAGCUUUUGUGAUGCAGAAGCCACUUUAGUUUCUGAUUCUGAAUAUAUUAUUCAGGUGUUUUGUUAUUUAUUUCAGAAAUUCUUGUGAUGUACAAUAUUCAAUUUGUGUUGGUCUGACUUAACCAAAAUAGUGUUUUAAAAUUACUUUCUGUUUUACUUUGUGUUUGUAUAGACCGUAAUGCAUAAAAGCGCAUUAAUGUGAACAUUAAAGAAAGUUCUUUAAAAAAUGAAAUGCAUUAACAGUAAUGCAUUACUUUUUGUAAUAAGUAGUAAUAAAGUAAUUGAGUUACUUUUUGAAUUAACUUAUUUCUUAGUAACUAGCACAACACUGUUAGUCAUAAAGCAAAUCAAAGAGGUAGAGUGAUGGGUUAGAGAUGAGAUUGAGCAGAGAAUCCCAACCAACCUCAUAACAUUAUCUCAUCAUUAACUCAUUACCCUAUCAUUAACCCAGAUAGAAAUGGGGUAGAGUGAUGGAUUAGUGUAGAGUUAGUGAUGAAUUCACUUCAUGGGUUAGUGAUGUGAUAGAGGACUAGAGAAAAGGUUGGGAAUCCAUGAUCUACAUCAUUACAGAUUACUUUAUCUGAUCAUUAACCCAUUAUCAUAUAAUUAACCCAGUUAGCAAUGGGGUAGCAUGAUGGAUUAGUGUAGGGUCAGUGAAGAAUUCAAGUGAUAGAUUAGUGAUGAGAUUGGUUGGGUUCAUUUCUGACAUUUGGUUCCUCUAUUAGUAAAAUAGAUUUGUCAUGUCUAUUUGGAGGAAGUUUUUACCAAACAAAAAGACUAAGUCGGUUUAUUGAGGCAGCCUGCUGAGCUAUGUUUCUCUCACAGUGAAGCUCAUAGUAACCUUUAGUGGAGUACGAUAAAAAUCUCCACCAUUCAUGUGCCAGAACAUCUGCAAUAAAUGACAAAACACAAUGAGAUGCUCUCAAAUUAACAUUCUGCAAUGACCUUGAUGACUCACAGUGAGAAUUUUCAUUCGUAUCUUUAUCUCUCAGGUGAUCUACCAUCUUUCUCCCUAUAAUUUAAUUCAAGCUUUUCUGAGAAGUGGCUGGCCUGAAUCUUUCCUCAGUGUAUCAUCAAGCUGUUUGGCUGGAUUCACCAGCAUUAUAGCUCUGUUUCUGGACUAGAGAAGGAUGCCUAGGGAAAUCAUAAACCAUAGGAUUAGACACAAAACAUCAAGACUCUGUAGAAGAAGGCCAUGACGGUCAUUAUGGAGUCGAGAGUAUCUGAGGAUUUGGCAACACGAUGUAUUCUCCUCGCAGCAUUAAAUGUGAUUCAUGAUUCAUGACUAAAAAACCAAGGAGUUUUCCUUCUGGUAAGACUCCACAUCUUCAGCUUAAGCUCAAGGAUCAAACUGACAUGAAUAAAUAAAGAAGCCUCGGGACACAAGAGUCUUUUCCACCCCAAAAUCCCUUCAGCUCAAACAUCAGCACAGACCCAACGAAAUCUCAAACGCUCCAGACAUCUCAGCCUCCGGAGGAGUGUGUGUUCGCAUGAGCCCAGUGAAAAGUAAUUUCUAAAGCUACCAGAGGCCGCAGCGAACAUUCACUAAUGCAUUACUGCCCACAAAGAAGCAGGAAGCGGCAGAGCGGCACAGAGAACACAUUCAGCCUGAGGAACACCAGUGACUGCCAAACAUUCAGAGGUGGGAACAACUGUUGGAACAGAGACAGAGAUCGGAGAAGGACAGACUGGAGGGCACAGCUGCGGAACGAGAGAGAGAGAGAGAGGAGAUCUGCAAUGCCCACUGAACACUGCCUUAAAUAUUCCCAAGUGAAUCUAACCGAAAAACAUAUUAAGCAAGGAUACAUUAGAUUUAUGAAGAGUGAAGUAGUUUAUAUAUUAUACAGUAUAUAUCUGAAGUAAAGGCAUUUGUGAUGAUACACACAAGAUGUUUAUUUCAAAUAAAUGCUGUUCUUUUGAUCUUUCUACACAUCAGAAAAUCCUGAAAAAAAGUAUCAUGGUUUUAUGAAAAAUAUUAAGCUUCACAACUUGUCUUCAACAUUGAUAAUAAUCAGAAAUGUCAGAAUGAUUUCUGAAGGAUCAUGUGACACUGAAGACUGGUGUAAUGAUGCUGAAAUAAACAUAUUGUAAAAAUAUUUAACAUUAAAAUUGAUAAUAUCUAUAGUUAUAUUAAUAUAUAUUUUUAUAUUCAGCAAUUUUAUAUUAAUAAACUGAA